rnacentral:rRNA from 1 species
CCUACGGGUGGCAGCAGUGGGGGAUAUUGCACAAUGGGGGAAACCCUGAUGCAGCGACGCCGCGUGGGUGAAGAAGUAUUUCGGUAUGUAAAGCCCUAUCAGCAGGGAAGAAAGAAGACGGUACCUGACUAAGAAGCCCCGGCUAACUACGUGCCAGCAGCCGCGGUAAUACGUAGGGGGCGAGCGUUAUCCGGAUUCACUGGGUGUAAAGGGAGCGUAGACGGCCGUGCAAGCCAGGAGUGAAAGCCCGGGGCACAACCCCGGGACUGCUCUUGGGACUGUGCGGCUGGAGUGCGGGAGGGGCAGGCGGAAGUCCUGGUGUAGCGGUGAAAUGCGUAGAUAUCAGGAGGAACACCGGCGGCGAAGGCGGCCUGCUGGACCGCGACUGACGUUGAGGCUCGAAAGCGUGGGGAGCGAACAGGAUUAGAUACCCCUGUAGUC